CAAGUGAAAAAUUAUGUCUAACCAAAAGUAUAAAAUAAAGUAUAAUAAUUAAUAAUUAAGUAUUGUAAAACAAAUACACUAAAUAAAUAUACAUAAAAGAACUCAUUCAAAAUGCAUAUCACAAAAAGUUUAAGCCAUAAUUCUUGGUAGUUUACCUAAUACCCACCAACGAAUCAUCACAUUCAAGCAAGACCAAUCAAAAAUAUUAAUAUAUUCCAAACAAAGUUUAAAAUUACACAUGACUCAUAUAUUGCUCGACCUAUAAACC
rnacentral:lncRNA from 1 species